rnacentral:rRNA from 1 species
AGUGCAGACGGGUGAGUAACGCGUGGGAACGUACCCCUCGGUUCGGAAUAACUCAGGGAAACUUGAGCUAAUACCGGAUACGGCCGAGAGGCGAAAGAUUUAUCGCCGAGGGAUCGGCCCGCGUCCGAUUAGCUAGUUGGUGAGGUAACGGCUCACCAAGGCGACGAUCGGUAGCUGGUCUGAGAGGAUGAUCAGCCACAUUGGGACUGAGACACGGCCCAAACUCCUACGGGAGGCAGCAGUGGGGAAUAUUGGACAAUGGGCGAAAGCCUGAUCCAGCCAUGCCGCGUGAGUGAUGAAGGCCUUAGGGUUGUAAAGCUCUUUCGUCAGGGACGAUAAUGACGGUACCUGAAGAAGAAGCCCCGGCUAACUUCGUGCCAGCAGCCGCGGUAAUACGAAGGGGGCUAGCGUUGUUCGGAAUCACUGGGCGUAAAGCGCAUGUAGGCGGGUCUUUAAGUCAGGGGUGAAAUGCCAAGGCUCAACCUUGGAACUGCCUUUGA